rnacentral:lncRNA from 1 species
GCGAAGACUGGGAGGAGAUCUUGAUGGAGGGUUUGGAAGCACCCCCAGAGGCAGGAUCUGCAAGAGGACCUGAGGCUUUAAUGGGGGCACAGCCCAGAGGAGAUGAAUCGUCCUGGGAGGUGGAGAAGAGAGAAGUGGAGAAAAUGGAGGGCAGAGAAGAGAAGGGAAGGGCGGAAAAGCUUGGGGCAGAGCUGGAGGAUGGGGCAGCUGUGCUGCCAGAUGCGACUCAGGGAGGGGAGGAAAGCGAGGCAGAGAAGAUAGAGAGAAAAGACGGUGAGGGCCCCUUUCCAGAAGAGAUAGCAACAGAUGAGGAAAAGUGGGAGGUGAAAGAAAAGAAAGAUGAAGAGCCAUUGGAAGUAGAAAAGGGAGGUGAGGAGGAGCCUCCCACCAUUGAGAAGCCAUUGGUGGCAGAAAAAGAGGCAGAGGGCUCACCGGAGACAGAGAAAAAAGGAAAUGAGACGCCAUUGGGCCAGGAGAAAGAUGGCGAAGGCUCAUUAGACAGAGAAUCAAAAACUGAGAUAUUAUUGGAUGGAGAGACAGGAGGUGAGAGCUCAUUGGAUGAAACUAAAGGAAGCAAGAAACUAUUGGAUGAGGAGACAGGAGGUGAGGGUUCAUUGGAUGAAGCAACUAAAGGAAGUAAGAAACUGUUGGACGGGGAGGCAGGUGGCAGUGAGCUAUUCUCAGAGGUGGAGAAGACUUCAGGCGCCAAGGAUGAUGUGAGCCCAGAGGAGCAAGGCAAAUCCAAUGAAGGAGCAGAUUUU